CUUUUUUUCAUUUAUUAUUUUCUUUGCUUUCUGAUUUUUUGGUCUUUUUUCAUUCAGAAAUUUAGGCUGGGAAAGCAGCCUCACAAGGAUUUCAAUGAUCACUCGAUGAAAGAUGCUUCAUCUCUUGAACUCCAACGAAACAAUGCAUCGUCGUCUGGAAUGAUGGGGCGAAGCAUGAACGAUGGCAAUAAUGUUCACAUCACUGAUGCAAUUAGGAUGCAAAUGGAGGUCAACAGAAGACUCCACGAGCAAUUAAUAGACCGCCGCUAAAGCU